rnacentral:rRNA from 1 species
AUUGAACGCUGGCGGCAGGCCUAACACAUGCAAGUCGAACGAGUGGCGGACGGGUGAGUAAUGUCUGGGAAACUGCCUGAUGGAGGGGGAUAACUACUGGAAACGGUAGCUAAUACCGCACACCCUCGGACGUGCCCAGAUGGGAUUAGCUAGUAGGUGGAGUAACGGCUCACCUAGGCGACGAUCCCAAGCUGGUCUGAGAGGAUGACCAGCCACACUGGAACUGAGACACGGUCCAAACUCCUACAGGAGGCGGCAGUGGGGAAUAUGGCGCAAGGGGCGCAAGCCUGAUGCAGCCAUGCCGCGUGUAUGAAGAAGGCCUUCGGGUUGUAAAGUACUUUCAGCGAGGAGGCGUUACUCGCAGAAGAAGCACCGGCUAACUCCGUGCCAGCAGCCGCGGUAAUUC